rnacentral:tRNA from 1 species
UGGGACGUAGCCAAGCGGUAAGGCUCCAGAUUCUGAAUCUGGCAUGCGAUGGUUCGAAUCCACCCGUCCCAGCCA